GUCGAACGGCAGCACAGCAGGGGGCAACCCCUGUGGGCGGCGAGUGGCGGACGGGUGAGUAAUGCUUAGGAAUCUGCCCAAUGGUGGGGGAUAACCAGUCGAAAGAUUGGCUAAUACCGCAUACGCCUUUACGGGGAAAGCGGGGGAUCGAAAGACCUCGCGCCGAUGGAUGAGCCUAAGUCCGAUUAACUAGUUGGUGGGGUAAUGGCCUACCAAGGCGACGAUCGGUAGCUGGUCUGAGAGGACGGCCAGCCACACUGGAACUGAGACACGGUCCAGACUCCUACGGGAGGCAGCAGUGGGGAAUAUUGGACAAUGGGGGCAACCCUGAUCCAGCAAUGCCGCGUGUGUGAAGAAGGCCUGCGGGUUGUAAAGCACUUUCGGCUGGGAAGAAAAGUCCGGCGUUAACACCGCCGGGCCUUGACGUUACCGGCAGAAGAAGCACCGGCCAACUCUGUGCCAGCAGCCGCGGUAAUACAGAGGGUGCAAGCGUUAAUCGGAAUCACUGGGCGUAAAGCGUGCGUAGGUGGUCAAGCAAGUCGGUUGUGAAAUCCCCGGGCUUAACCUGGGAACUGUAGUCGAUACUACUUGGCUGGAGUAUGGUAGAGGGAAGUGGAAUUUCCGGUGUAGCGGUGAAAUGCGUAGAUAUCGGAAGGAACACCAAUGGCGAAGGCAGCUUCCUGGACCAAUACUGACACUGAGGCACGAAAGCGUGGGGAGCAAACAGGAUUAGAUACCCUGGUAGUCCACGCCCUAAACGAUGAGAACUAGCCGUUGGGGGAAUUGAAUCUCCUAGUGGCGCAGCUAACGCGUUAAGUUCUCCGCCUGGGGAGUACGGCCGCAAGGUUAAACUCAAGGAAUUGACGGGGGCCCGCACAAGCGGUGGAGCAUGUGUUCAUUCGAUGCACGCGAAAAUCUUACCU
rnacentral:rRNA from 1 species